GAUGAACGCUGGCGGCGUGCCUAAUACAUGCAAGUCGAGCGAACGGACGAGAAGCUUGCUUCUCUGAUGUUAGCGGCGGACGGGUGAGUAACACGUGGAUAACCUACCUAUAAGACUGGGAUAACUUCGGGAAACCGGAGCUAAUACCGGAUAAUAUUUUGAACCGCAUGGUUCAAAAGUGAAAGACGGUCUUGCUGUCACUUAUAGAUGGAUCCGCGCUGCAUUAGCUAGUUGGUAAGGUAACGGCUUACCAAGGCAACGAUGCAUAGCCGACCUGAGAGGGGAUUCGGCCCCACGGGACUUGGGCGCCGGUCACAACCCCCCGGGGAGGGCGGAAGCGGGAGUCUCCCGCACUGGGGAAAAGCCUUACGGACAACCGCCGUGGGAAUGUUGAAGUUCUUCGGGUCGUAAAACUCUUUUAUUUGGGAAAACCAAUUGUGAAAGUAAUUGUCCACAUUUGGCCGGUCCUAAAUAAAAACGCCCCGGCUACCUCCGU
rnacentral:rRNA from 1 species